rnacentral:rRNA from 1 species
CGAGCACGCGCGUGUGGCAUAUCAAUAAGCGGAGGAAAAGAAACUAACAAGGAUUCCCUUAGUAACGGCGAGUGAAGCGGGAAGAGCUCAAAUUUGAAAUCUUCAAGGUUUUACCUUGACGAAUUGUAGUUUAAAGAAGUGUUUUCGGUUAGAGGAGUGGUAAAAGUUCUUUGGAAUAGGACAUCAUAGAGGGUGAGAAUCCCGUAUUUGACCAUUCUUUCUAGCUUUGUGAUACACUUUCAAAGAGUCGGGUUGUUUGGGAAUGCAGUCCAAAAUGGGUGGUAAAUUUCAUCUAAAGCUAAAUAUUGGCGAGAGACCGAUAGCGAACAAGUACCGUGAGGGAAAGAUGAAAAGAACUUUGAAAAGAGAGUUAAACAGUACUUGAAAUUGUCAAAAGGGAAGCGUUUGACACCAGUGUUGUUUUUCCGAAAAUCAAUUACGAAUGUUUUGUUUUUGAGGAGUUAUGACUUCAUCGGCUUGCUUCUCUCUUUAUGAAACUUUCUUAAUGCACUUUUCGGUUAACAAGUCAACAUCAAUUUCUUUUGUUGUAAAAGGGUAUGAGGAAGGUGGCUUUCUUUUCGGAGAAAGUGUUUAUAGCCUUGUACCUCUGCAAUCGGAGAGAUUGAGGUCUGCAGCGUAGAUCCUUCGGGGUUAGAUACAUUUGUGCUAAGUUAUAGCUUUUCAUAGACAACUUGUUGACUAUGUUUAGUCUUGUAGCUUACUCGCUUACGCUAUUUUACCUACGCUUAGGAUGUUGAACUCUAUCACACACAG